GUAGGUGAACCUGCGGAAGGAUCAUUACCGAGUUAGGGUCCUCUGGGCCCCAUCUCCAACCCUUGUCUAUUCUACCACGUUGCUUCGGCGGGCCCGCCCCUGAUCGGGCCGCCGGGGAUCUCCGUCCCUGGCCCGCGCCCGCCGGUAGCCCCCAAACUCUGGAAACCGUGAUGUCUCAAUCUUUGCGAGAAUAAUUAAAACUUUCAACAACGGAUCUCUUGGUUCUGGCAUCGAUGAAGAACGCAGCAUC
rnacentral:misc_RNA from 1 species